UACGUAGGGGGCAAGCGUUGUCCGGAAUCAUUGGGCGUAAAGAGCGUGUAGGCGGUUCGGUAAGUCUGCCGUGAAAGUCCAGGGCUCAACCCUGGGAUGCCGGUGGAUACUGUCGAGCUCGAGUCCGGAAGAGGCGAGUGGAAUUCCUGGUGUAGCGGUGAAAUGCGCAGAUAUCAGGAGGAACACCAAUGGCGAAGGCAGCUCGCUGGGACGUGACUGACGCUGAGACGCGAAAGCGUGGGGAGCAAACAGG
rnacentral:rRNA from 1 species